GGGUCUCCUAAAAACAAAUCAUUUUCUGUUUUGGUCCAUUUUCUGUCUCUGUAACAGACACCUGUGACCGGGUUGGGACCACUCCGAAGUUACUGGUGGCUGCUAUUACUGUGGGAUUCGGCACACCCAGGCCAGCAGAUACCUUGUAUGGGGACCAUUAAAGCAGCUUAGCAUGUCCUGGGUUCGUGCUAUUCAGCUCCUGUACUUCAGAUGAUGGGUCUGGAGAAGCUGAAAACAACCAAACUAAAACCAAGUCCUUGGAUUUGGUGAACCUUAAUCCUGACUCAAAGAAAUUCUUUUGAGGUUUCCAGACCAAGCAAAUGAACAAAGUCACAAGGCGAUGUGAAUCCGGGAAAGAAGAGAAAUCUGUUUCCUCCACAGGAAGAAGUGACCUCUCUUUCCAUUUGCUGCCUGCAAUCCCUGGGCCAUGGACAACUACACACACCUUUCUCUGUUGUACUGCACCGUUGCGUGUCCCUGCUAUGUUAGUUUAUCACAUAAUAUAGAGCCACAGGAUUAAAACAUCCUUGUGCUGUUGA